GUCCACGCCCUAAACGAUGGAUACUAGGUGUGGGAGGUAUCGACCCCUCCCGUGCCGCAGCUAACGCAUUAAGUAUCCCGCCUGGGGAGUACGGUCGCAAGAUUAAAACUCAAAGGAAUUGACGGGGGCCCGCACAAGCGGUGGAGCAUGUGGUUUAAUUCGACGCAACGCGAAGAACCUUACCUGGGCUUGACAUCCCUGGAACCCCUAUGAAAGUAGGGGGUGCCUAGCAAUAGGAGCCAGGAGACAUGUGCUGCAUGGCUGUCGU
rnacentral:rRNA from 1 species